UUUAUUUUUCUCUCUUUUUUAUUUUUCGAGAUCUAGUCAAUCUGAAAUUUUUACUGAGAAAAAGUAUUAUGUCAUUUCUUCGACUAGUUUAUUUUUUAUGUGAACAGAAAAUUCUUGUUCGCCGCCUAUAAGAGAGAAAAAUCUCUUUUGUAACACGAGUAGAUUAUUAGUUGUAGCGGUGAAGUAUUUUUGUCGUAGUAGUCAAAUUUCAGCGACAACAGUAUUCUUUAACCCCCAGUCAAAAGCAGACCUGCUAGGAUCUUCCGGUCUAAUUUUACCCCACUUUUUUUGUGUUGCCGUCGACAUUAUUUAAGGAUUAAGUACUUGUAAGCAAGUCGUGAGAUGGUAAUGAGGUUCCUUCGUUUGCUAGGAAUAAAAAUAAUGCAAUGCAAUUUAACGGUCGGUUGUGUGAGGUUUUUUUUUUUAACAACUUUACAAAGGUACCGACAAACAGAAAUUGUCAUUGAAAAAGUCACAAUUAUAGCUAGGUAAAAAGGUUGCAUUUCUUUUAAAUGUUACAAGCGGUAUUAUAAGUGAUUUAUUAACUAAAAAUCCUUUCUACUAAUAAGCACAAGACUCGAAAUUUUGUCGAGGUAUAAUGCUACAGUUUAUAUAAUAUCCAUUACGUGUGUGUGAAAACAAUUCCCGUUCUGUACAAUAAAACACUGAAACAAAUUAAUCAUUUUUUAUCUUGUACAGUAGCUAUAAAUGGCACCGCAGAACAGUGCCCUUUCAAUAUUUCAUAUCCUGUAAGGCGGUGAGCUGGCGGAAUUGUUAGCAUGCCGAGCAAAAUGCUUAGAAGUAUUUCGUCCGUCAAUAUGCUGAGUUCAAAUUCCGCCGAGCUCGAUAAAAUAAAGUACCAAUUGAGCACUAGGGGAUAGUUAAUCGACUUACAGCUCCCCCAAACUUGCUGCCCCUAUACCAACAUUUAACACUAAUAUUUCAUAUUCUGUCCUCGCCACAAUGAAAAAUAGAAAUAGAGCUAACUUGUGGCGAAUGUCGAAAUAAGUAGAUUAAGGGUCUAAGUACAGGAACAUGGUUUCCGUUUCGAUAAAUUAUAGCGCUAAUGUCAUUGGGGGAAAAAAUGAACUUCCUUUUUCCCUUUUGCAAAAAGUGUUAAAAAAAAAAAAGAAUACCAUUAGUAGGAGUAAUUUCGAUAUUAGCAAACGCAAAACUUUUUUUCUAAAAAUGGGACAACACUUCGUAACAAAUUUACAAAUGCCGAAAAAAAAAAAUGAAAAGCUUUGAAAAAAAGCUAUCAGAUAAUAGAUAAUUCCGUCACUUUGGCUCAACAAGAUAGAAAGAAACUAAAAGAAGUAUGUUGCAUUAGUUGAAGAGUUUCAAUCGUUUUAUCAAGCUUGCGAAGGGAAGGUAGUAACAAUAAUCACUGAGGAUGUUAACACCCGCUUGCAAACAUGGCGCUUUAUAAAACAGACACUCCUUCGUAUACCACCAAUAGUUGUGUUGAACUGUUUACUUUAGCUAUAGUAGCAACUUAGUCAUAGUCAUUUCCCUUCAUGUUUUUCAGAGCGUUGAUAUUUUUCAUCCUUAAAUAUAUUGUAGUAAUUUUCAUUCGCCCUCACUUCCGUGUACUAACAGAACAAUUUUGUACACAUACGCACACAUAUACACGAACAUACACGAACAUAAUAACCCAUUUAUAGAUAAGCACACGGACGUACAGCUUUCUCCACCUCUUUCUCCUAAGUUAAUUUCUUAGUUUUUCGACAUAUUUCGUUGUCUCCUGCCUGCUACAGUAAUAAACAUUGGAGUUUUAAGCAUACGAGAGAAAAAGAAAAUAAUUGGCCUGGUUGUUGUAUGGUGACUUAGUGUAUAUAUGCCUCAGAAUAACCUAUUGGAACUAUGGCACGGACAAGCAUUUCUCAGGACGUUCAAGACUUGCAAGUCGCCUCUUCCAAAGUUCACUUGUCCGUGACGAAAAAUACUUCUCCAGUACUGUUCUGACCUCGUCUACAGAAUAUUUUUUCUGCCCAAAUGAUUUUGAAGACUGCAGAAUAAAUGAUAAUCAGAUGGGGCAAUGUCCGGCGAAUAUGGUGGGUGUGGCAUCGUUUCUCAUUCAAACUGCUCCAGCCUUUGGAAUGUCAUCAUUGCUGUAUAUGGUUAAGCAUUAUCCUAAUGGAAGAACUCUUUUCGUCUUGGAACCAAAGAUGGUCGUUUUUCUUCUAGCGCUGGUGUCAAUGAAUGGUUGAAUGACCAAAUCCAAGCUUCUCUGCUAGUUCCUCAACAAUUAUGAUGGAAUGUUGUUCCACUAGGGUUUGCAGGAUAUCCUCGUUGAGCUCUAAAGAUCUGGGAUGAGUUACGUCUUCUGGGCUGUAGUUUCCGGCUUAGAAUUUCUGGAACCACCGUUGACAUUGGCUUACACUUAUUGUCCAAUCCCCAUAUACUGCAUUAAUAUUGCUCGCACUUUUCGUUGCGUUGUUGCCUUUAUUGAACUCUUGAUUUAAAAUAUCCCAAAUAUUUUCCUUUGUCACUUCCAUUAUAGCUUUGAAAAAAAUAACCUUUUAAUUUAAAUUAACUCUUCAAAACUUGCACUAAGAAUAAAGACAAGGUAAAAUUAAUAUUUGCUUUUAUAGCAAGUUGAUGCAGGUAGUUUAUCCCAUCCCCCUUAGUGGUAUGCAAUUGAAAAAAAACGCAUUAUUCAUGGGAUGACCCAAUAUAUAAUAUGUAUGGUAUAUAUAUAUAUAUGUAUGAACAUGUAUAUAUAAGCAUUAUAUAUAUGUAUAUAUAUAUUAUCUGUAGUGAAGCUACUUCUAUCACAGUUAUAAAUAGUAACAAAGGUGAGCGUAGCAGAAAGUAGCUUGCUGUGUCCAUCACCUGACUGACUAUUAUUUCGGCGGCAUUUGCCUCAUACCGUUUCCCGCCAGGAUGCAAACUGACCAACCACAGCCUCUAAUAAGGUCACGUGAUAGUGUUUUUCUAAUGCUUCUCUGGAGCCCACCUUUAUCUAUAAAUAGCCUGCUAGAUACCCGCCAAUUCGUCGCGGCUCAGAUCUUCUGAGAUCUGGUCGCUGACCACACGCACGUAACACAGCCAGCCAGUUUCCAGCGACGACAUCAACAGCUUCGUCCAACUACGACUACCAGCAUCGUCCCCAACAGCGUCAACACGACUCUACGUACACAAGCUACCAACAGCUAACCAAACUACCGCAGCUUCUCACCCUGUUUGUGUGAUUUCUUCACCACGGAAAUAACAGCCAGAAUUCAGCCUGCGAAGAACAUCUGUAUUCAAGAACCCGACCCGGCAUUGAAGCCCCAACAUCACGACGAGUGACCGCUCUGCCUCAACGCCUUAACUUCUCACAUACAGAUUACCAAUACUACUGUGUACUCUAACUAAGAACUGGUAUAUUUCCUUAUCCGUGUUACUGACUCUAAUCUAUACUCUGUAACUCUUACAUACACAUACACUCUUUUGUUUUACAUGACGGCCAGUCUUAUAUUGUGUUUUAUUAUGUCGCGUUCACACACACACACACACAGACAUACAGUUUAAUGCUCCAAUAAAUCAAUACUGGCAAAUUUCUUAGUUCUCUAUGUUAUAGUAUUAUAACAUAUAUCACUAUAUUUUGUGUCGACCGUGUGACGCGUUUAAAAAAGGAGCCUGUUUUCCAUUCGUCACCAUUUCUCCUUUUGGUUCGCACGGUCGUUCUUACAUAUCCAUAUUCAAUUAAUAGAAGAAACUGGAGAGAUAAUGGUUAAUAAUUAUUUAUUAAUAAAUUGAUAAUCAUUAAUUCCUACAA